rnacentral:misc_RNA from 1 species
AACGCACAUUGCGCCCUGUGGUAUUCCGCAGGGCAUGCCUGUUCGAGCGUCAUUUCAACCCUCAAGCUCUGCUUGGUGUUGGGCCACGCCCUCGCGGCCGGCCCCAAAGCCAGUGGCGGCGCCGUCCGGCUCUAAGCGUAGUACAUCUCUCGCUCUAGGGCCCGGCGGCUACCUGCCAGAACCCCAAACUCUUAUGGUUGACCUCGGAUCAGGUAGGGAUACCCGCUGAACUUAA